GUUUAUCGCUCACUUUGCGCUAGAAAGAGGAAACCAGCGGAUAAACAACAGCAGCACGUUUAAGCUUGAUAAGCUGUUGUUAGAACUGAUUUAAUAUUAAUUUUCUAGUAUCAGCUGCUGUUUGCUGGAGCCACGGCAGUAAAAACUACUGGUCAUGAUAUCGGUUUGGUUAUCUGGUGAGAGGGAAACAUGAAGAUGAAACCAGGAGCUGUCCUUACUGAAUCAUCAGAGCUGAACAGGUGAUGGAGAAACAGGGUUACCUUUUAGGUGACAUGAACGGAAGUUAUGAACUAUUUCUGAGAGACAAAUAACACCAAGAUCCUUUUUUUACGUAGCGCACAGCUGGUAACUGUGCAGCGGCGGGUCUAGCAAAGUUUUGCCAGGGGGCCAGGUAGGGCAUUAACUGGGAAAGGGGGGCACAAAAAUAUUUCUUUGUUAUUUCAUUUAAAAUGACUAAUAAAUAAUUAUCUGAAUCUUACAACCAAAGUUUUCAUCUGAUUAAAUGUAUAGAAAUCCAUUACUGUAUAUAGUAACUAUUAAGUCUAAUAUAUACUCUAGUAAGCUAUAGUACUAUUUCCAUCUUUGCAGUCUGCAAUUCUGUUGAAGAAAGAUGUUGAAUCUGUUUAAUUAUUGUAGAAAAAUAAUUGAUUUCUGUGCUGCUUUUUUUUUUUUAAAUGCACGUGUAUUAAAUUAAAGUUGAUUAUGUUGAUUAAACAUCACAAGGCGGAGGGUGGGGGGUGGUUCCCUUUUUUUUUUUUUUUGCUGGGAGUUGGCAACCCUAUUAGUUAGGUUGUUUAAUAUUUCUGCUAAGUACUCUUUAAAAUAUCAGAAUAGGGAGGAUGGUGUAGGUUUAUAGAGAUUUAUUUAAAAAAAAAAAAGUUGUAUUGAUUACAAAAUACACUAUAUCGGAUUCAUAUCGGUAUCGGCAGAUAUCCAAAUAUAUGAUAUCGGACAUAAAAAAAAUUUUAAAAAAUUUUUUAAAAAUCGUGCCAUCUCUAGUUUCUACUCAGAAACACAGUCGCUGGCCAUUUAAAUUGCAGCUGCACAUUAGCCGUCCUCUCUCAUGAAGCAGAGGGUAAAGACAGAAAGAGACUCAGGUUAUAUACUUAAAAACUGAACUUCAUUUUCAAAAACCAAGAAGACUCAUGAUAUUCUACCAGUGCCUGUCUGCUGUAUUCUUGCUGAUAUCCUAGAGUAGAUGGGGAUGACAGAAAUAUAUACACAGAUUUGACGAGGUCAGGAAACAUUAAGACCAAUAAUGUCACAGUGGCACGCUCUCCUUUGAAAAAAAUAAAAAUAAAAACAACCUGAUGUUGAAUAUCUUGUUUUCACAUUCAACCCCAUCUUUUAGAACCUGAUUUCCAGAAAGCUGUUUUGUAUUCAAACCAGUCUUGGAAAUAAUAAAGCCACUGGAAGAGAUCUGCAACACACCAGACUUUGGUUACUGAGCGAAACAAUGCUGAAAACAGCCUGCGUUCGCUUCCCUCCCUCCAAGACAUCUACAGGAAGCGGUGCCUGAGGAAAGCGGGGAGGAUCAUCAAGGACUCCAGUCACCCCAGCCAUAAACUGUUCAGACUGCUUCCAUCAGGAAGGAGGUUCUGCAGCAUCCGGUCCCGUACCAGCAGACUGAGAGACAGCUUUUUCCAUCAGGCCAUCAGACUGCUGAACACGUCAUAGACACCUCAGCUUC
ensembl:lncRNA